GGGUUGUGAGGUUAAGCGACUAAGCGUACACGGUGGAUGCCCUGGCAGUCAGAGGCGAUGAAGGACGUGCUAAUCUGCGAAAAGCGUCGGUAAGGUGAUAUGAACCGUUAUAACCGGCGAUGUCCGAAUGGGGAAACCCAGUGUGAUUCGUCACACUAUCGUUAACUGAAUACAUAGGUUAACGAGGCGAACCGGGGGAACUGAAACAUCUAAGUACCCCGAGGAAAAGAAAUCAACCGAGAUUCCCCCAGUAGCGGCGAGCGAACGGGGAGCAGCCCAGAGUCUGAAUCAGCUUGUGUGUUAGUGGAACGGUCUGGAAAGUCCGACGGUACAGGGUGAUAGUCCCGUACACCAAAAUGCACAGGCUGUGAACUCGAAGAGUAGGGCGGGACACGUGGUAUCCUGUCUGAAUAUGGGGGGACCAUCCUCCAAGGCUAAAUACUCCUGACUGACCGAUAGUGAACCAGUACCGUGAGGGAAAGGCGAAAAGAACCCCGGCGAGGGGAGUGAAAAAGAACCUGAAACCGUGUACGUACAAGCAGUGGGAGCACCUUCGGGUGUGACUGCGUACCUUUUGUAUAAUGGGUCAGCGACUUAUAUUCUGUAGCAAGGUUAACCGUAUAGGGGAGCCGCAGGGAAACCGAGUCUUAACUGGGCGUUAAGUUGCAGGGUAUAGACCCGAAACCCGGUGAUCUAGCCAUGGGCAGGUUGAAGGUUGGGUAACACUAACUGGAGGACCGAACCGACUAAUGUUGAAAAAUUAGCGGAUGACUUGUGGCUGGGGGUGAAAGGCCAAUCAAACCGGGAGAUAGCUGGUUCUCCCCGAAAGCUAUUUAGGUAGCGCCUCGUGAAUUCAUCUUCGGGGGUAGAGCACUGUUUCGGCUAGGGGGUCAUCCCGACUUACCAACCCGAUGCAAACUACGAAUACCGAAGAAUGUUAUCACGGGAGACACACGGCGGGUGCUAACGUCCGUCGUGAAGAGGGAAACAACCCAGACCGCCAGCUAAGGUCCCAAAGUCAUGGUUAAGUGGGAAACGAUGUGGGAAGGCACAGACAGCCAGGAUGUUGGCUUAGAAGCAGCCAUCAUUUAAAGAAAGCGUAAUAGCUCACUGGUCGAGUCGGCCUGCGCGGAAGAUGUAACGGGGCUAAACCAUGCACCGAAGCUGCGGCAGCGACACUAUGUGUUGUUGGGUAGGGGAGCGUUCUGUAAGCCUGCGAAGGUGUGCUGUGAGGCAUGCUGGAGGUAUCAGAAGUGCGAAUGCUGACAUAAGUAACGAUAAAGCGGGUGAAAAGCCCGCUCGCCGGAAGACCAAGGGUUCCUGUCCAACGUUAAUCGGGGCAGGGUGAGUCGACCCCUAAGGCGAGGCCGAAAGGCGUAGUCGAUGGGAAACAGGUUAAUAUUCCUGUACUUGGUGUUACUGCGAAGGGGGGACGGAGAAGGCUAUGUUAGCCGGGCGACGGUUGUCCCGGUUUAAGCAUGUAGGCUGAUUGUCCAGGCAAAUCCGGAUAAUCAAGGCUGAGGUGUGAUGACGAGGCACUACGGUGCUGAAGUAACAAAUGCCCUGCUUCCAGGAAAAGCCUCUAAGCAUCAGGUAACAUCAAAUCGUACCCCAAACCGACACAGGUGGUCAGGUAGAGAAUACCAAGGCGCUUGAGAGAACUCGGGUGAAGGAACUAGGCAAAAUGGUGCCGUAACUUCGGGAGAAGGCACGCUGGUGUGUAGGUGAAGUCCCUGCGGAUGGAGCUGAGACCAGUCGAAGAUACCAGCUGGCUGCAACUGUUUAUUAAAAACACAGCACUGUGCAAACACGAAAGUGGACGUAUACGGUGUGACGCCUGCCCGGUGCCGGAAGGUUAAUUGAUGGGGUUAUCCGUAAGGAGAAGCUCUUGAUCGAAGCCCCGGUAAACGGCGGCCGUAACUAUAACGGUCCUAAGGUAGCGAAAUUCCUUGUCGGGUAAGUUCCGACCUGCACGAAUGGCGUAAUGAUGGCCAGGCUGUCUCCACCCGAGACUCAGUGAAAUUGAACUCGCUGUGAAGAUGCAGUGUACCCGCGGCAAGACGGAAAGACCCCGUGAACCUUUACUAUAGCUUGACACUGAACAUUGAGCCUUGAUGUGUAGGAUAGGUGGGAGGCUUUGAAGCGUGGACGCCAGUCUGCGUGGAGCCAACCUUGAAAUACCACCCUUUAAUGUUUGAUGUUCUAACGUUGGCCCCUUACCGGGGUUGCGGACAGUGUCUGGUGGGUAGUUUGACUGGGGCGGUCUCCUCCCAAAGCGUAACGGAGGAGCACGAAGGUUAGCUAAUCCUGGUCGGACAUCAGGAGGUUAGUGCAAUGGCAUAAGCUAGCUUGACUGCGAGCGUGACGGCGCGAGCAGGUGCGAAAGCAGGUCAUAGUGAUCCGGUGGUUCUGAAUGGAAGGGCCAUCGCUCAACGGAUAAAAGGUACUCCGGGGAUAACAGGCUGAUACCGCCCAAGAGUUCAUAUCGACGGCGGUGUUUGGCACCUCGAUGUCGGCUCAUCACAUCCUGGGGCUGAAGUAGGUCCCAAGGGUAUGGCUGUUCGCCAUUUAAAGUGGUACGCGAGCUGGGUUUAGAACGUCGUGAGACAGUUCGGUCCCUAUCUGCCGUGGGCGCUGGAGAAUUGAGGGGGGCUGCUCCUAGUACGAGAGGACCGGAGUGGACGCAUCACUGGUGUUCGGGUUGUCAUGCCAAUGGCACUGCCCGGUAGCUAAAUGCGGAAGAGAUAAGUGCUGAAAGCAUCUAAGCACGAAACUUGCCCCGAGAUGAGUUCUCCCUGAGACUUUAAGUCUCCUGAAGGAACGUUAAAGACGAUGACGUUGAUAGGCCGGGUGUGUAAGCGCAGCGAUGCGUUGAGCUAACCGGUACUAAUGAACCGUGAGGCUUAACCUUACAACGCCGAAG
rnacentral:rRNA from 1 species